rnacentral:rRNA from 1 species
GACGUAGGGCGCGAGCGUUGUCCGGAUUUAUUGGGCGUAAAGGGCUCGUAGGCGGUCUGUUGCGUCGGUAGUGAAAACUCAGGGCUUAACCCUGAGCCUGCUUCCGAUACGGGCAGACUAGAGGUAUGCAGGGGAGAACGGAAUUCCUGGUGUAGCGGUGAAAUGCGCAGAUAUCAGGAGGAACACCGGUGGCGAAGGCGGAUCUCUGGGACGGUACUGACGCUAAGGCGCGAAAGCGUGGGGAGCAAACAGG